AUUGAACGCUGGCGGCAUGCCUUACACAUGCAAGCCGAACGGCAGCACGGGGCAACCUGGUGGCGAGUGGCGAACGGGUGAGUAAUGCAUCGGAACGUACCUUUCAGUGGGGGAUAACGUAGCGAAAGUUACGCUAAUACCGCAUAUUCUGUGAGCAGGAAAGCAGGGGAUCGCAAGACCUUGCGCUGAUUGAGCGGCCGAUGUCAGAUUAGCUAGUUGGUGAGGUAAAGGCUCACCAAGGCGACGAUCUGUAGCGGGUCUGAGAGGAUGAUCCGCCACACUGGAACUGAGACACGGUCCAGACUCCUACGGGAGGCAGCAGUGGGGAAUUUUGGACAAUGGGGGCAACCCUGAUCCAGCCAUGCCGCGUGAGUGAAGAAGGCCUUCGGGUUGUAAAGCUCUUUCGGCCGGGAAGAAAUCGCACGGGCUAAUACCCUGUGUGGAUGACGGUACCGGAAUAAGAAGCACCGGCUAACUACGUGCCAGCCGCCGCUGUAA
rnacentral:rRNA from 1 species